GACGAACGCUGGCGGCGUGCUUAACACAUGCAAGUCGAGCGGAGAUAUAUUGAAGAUUUAUCGGAUAUAUAUCUUAGCGGCGGACGGGUGAGUAACGCGUGGGCAAUCUGCCUCAUACAGGGGGAUAACACUGGGAAACUAGUGCUAAUACCGCAUAAAAUAAUGAAGUGGCAUUACUUUAUUAUCAAAGGAGCAAUCCGGUGUGAGAUGAGCCCGCGUCCGGAUUAGCUAGUUGGUGGGGUAACGGCCUACCAAGGCGACGAUCGGUAGCCGAACUGAGAGGGUGACCGGCCGACACUGGAACUGAGACACGGUCCAGACUCCUACGGGAGGCAGCAGUGGGGAAUAUUGCGCAAUGGACGAAAGUCUGACGCAGCGACGCCGCGUGGGUGAUGAAGGCCUUCGGUCGUAAGCCCUGUUGAGGGAGAGAAAGCUACUGUCGGUUAAUACCCGGCACGUGGUGAUAGUAUCCCUAGAGAAAGACACCGGCUAACUACGU
rnacentral:rRNA from 1 species